rnacentral:rRNA from 1 species
UUACGGCCAUAUCAUAUUGAAACACCGGUUCCCGUACGAUCACCGAAGUUAAGCAACGUCGAGUUUGGUCAGUACUUAGAUGAGUGAUCACUUGGGAAUACCAGGU